rnacentral:tRNA from 1 species
GGAGGUACAGCUUAGUGGUAGAGAGUCUGCCUAGCAUGCAUGAGGUCUUAGGUUCAACCCCCAGUACCUCCA